UGGGGAAUCUUCCGCAAUGGGCGAAAGCCUGACGGAGCAACGCCGCGUGAGUGAAGACGGCCUUCGGGUUGUAAAACUCUGUGAUUCGGGACGAAAGAUAAGCAGACGAAUAAUCUGCAUAAGUGACGGUACCGAAAAAGCAAGCCACGGCUAACUACGUGCCAGCAGCCGCGGUAAUACGUAGGUGGCAAGCGUUGUCCGGAAUUAUUGGGCGUAAAGCGCGCGCAGGCGGCUACUUAAGUCCAUCUUAAAAGUGCGGGGCUUAACCCCGUGAUGGGAUGGAAACUGAGAAGCUGGAGUGUCGGAGAGGAAAGUGGAAUUCCUAGUGUAGCGGUAAAAUGCGUAGAUAUUAGGAGGAACACCGGUGGCGAAGGCGGCUAUCUGGACAGUAACUGACGCUGAGGCGCGAAAGCGUGGGGAGCAAACAGG
rnacentral:rRNA from 1 species